GACGAACGCUGGCGGCGUGCUUAACACAUGCAAGUCGAACGGAAAGGCCCAGCUUGCUGGGUGCUCGCGUGGCGAACGGGUGAGUAACUCGCGGGUGAUCUGCCUCUCACUUCGGGAUAAGCUUGGGAAACUGGGUCUAAUACCGGAUAGGACAAUCGUUUAGUGUCGGUUGUGGAAAGUUUGUUCGGUUAGUGCUGAGACCGCGGCCUAGCAGCUCGUCGGUGGGGUAAUGGCCUACGAUGGCGUCGUCGGGUGGCCGCCCUGGGAGGGGGGACGGCGACAUUGGGACUGAGAGACGGCGCAGACGGCUACGGGAGGCAGCAGGGGGGAGUAUUGCACAGUGAGGGCAAGUGUGAUGCAGAGACGCUCGGUGGGGAAUGACGGCCUUCGGGUGGUGAACCUCUUUCGACAGAGACGAAGCUUUGGUGACGGUACCUGUAUAAGAAGCACCGGCUAACUACGUG
rnacentral:rRNA from 1 species